AUUGAACGCUGGCGGCGUGCUUAACACAUGCAAGUCGAUCGGUAACAGGUGUAGCAAUACAUGCUGACGAGAGGCGGACGGGUGAGGAACGCUUGGGAAUCUGCCCAUCAGCGGGGGACAACCCGGGGAAACUCGGGCUAAUACCGCAUACGCUCUAUGGAGGAAAGCCGGGGACCGCAAGGCCUGGCACUGAUGGAUGAGCUCAAGUCGGAUUAGCUAGUUGGCGGGGUAACAGCCCACCAAGGCUACGAUCCGUAGCUGGUCUGAGAGGACGAUCAGCCACACCGGAACUGAGACACGGUCCGGACUCCUACGGGAGGCAGCAGUGGGGAAUAUUGGACAAUGGGGGAAACCCUGAUCCAGCGACGCCGCGUGGGUGAAGAAGGCCUGCGGGUUGUAAAGCCCUUUCGGUAGGGACGAAAACUCUUGAUCUAAUAAAUCAGGGGAUUGACUUAACCUACAAAAGAAGCACCGGCUAACUCUGUGCCAGCAGCCGCGGUAAUACAGAGGGUGCGAGCGUUAAUCGGAAUUACUGGGCGUAAAGCGCACGUAGGCGGCUCUGUAAGUCGGUUGUGAAAUCCCCGGGCUCAACCUGGGAACUGCAUCCGAAACUACAUUGCUAGAGUAUGGGAGAGGGAGGCGGAAUUUCCGGUGUAGCAGUGAAAUCCGUAGAUAUGAGAAGGAACACCAGAGGCGAAGGCGCCUUCCUGGACAAGUAUUGACGCUGAGGCGCGAAAGCGUGGGGAUCAAACAGGAUUAGAUACCCUGGUAGUCCACGCUGUAAACGAUGAAUACUAGAUAUUGGGGGAUUUGACCCCUUCAGUGUCGUAGCUAACGCGUUAAGUAUUCCGCCUGGGAAGUACGGUCGCAAGACUAAAACUCAAAGGAAUUGACGGGGGCCCGCACAAGCGGUGGAUUAUGUGGUUUAAUUCGAAGCAACGCGCAAAACCUUACCUAGGCUUGAAAUCCCACGAACCCGGCCCAAAAGCUGGGGUGCUCUUCGGAGAAUGUGGUGACAGGCGCUGCAUGGCUGUCGUCAGCUCGUGUCGUGAGAUGUUGGGUUAAGUCUCGCAACGAGCGCAACCCCUAUCCUUAGUUGCCAGCAUUAAGUUGGGCACUCUAGGGAGACUGCCUGGGCUAACCAGGAGGAAGGUGGGGAUGACGUCAAGUCCUCAUGGCCCUUAUGUCUAGGGCUACACACGUAAUACAAUGGUCGGUACAGAGGGAUGCGAACUUGCGAAAGGGAGCAAAUCUCAAAAAACCGAUCUCAGUCCGGAUUGAAGUCUGCAACUCGACUUCAUGAAGUUGGAAUCGCUAGUAAUCGCGGAUCAGCACGCCGCGGUGAAUACGUUCCCGGGCCUUGUACACACCGCCCGUCACACCAUGGGAGUUGUUUUUACCUGAAGCCGUGACCUUAACCGCAAGGAGAGGAGCGUCUACGGUCGAAACGAUGACUGGGGUG
rnacentral:rRNA from 1 species